GUACACGCUGUGACUAGCAUAUCAAUAAGCGGAGGAAAAGAAACUAACAAGGAUUUCCCCUAGUAACGGCGAGUGAAGCGGGAAGAGCUCAAAUUUGAAAUCUUAAAGGGUUUCCCUUUACGAAUUGUAGUUUAAAGAAGUGUUUUCUGUUGAGGUUUUGGUAAAAGUUCUUUGGAAUAGGACAUCAUAGAGGGUGAGAAUCCCGUAUUUGACCUUUACUUUCAACUUUGUGAUACACUUUCAAAGAGUCGGAUUGUUUGGGAAUGCAGUCCAAAAUGGGUGGUAAAUUUCAUCUAAAGCUAAAUAUUGGCGAGAGACCGAUAGCGAACAAGUACCGUGAGGGAAAGAUGAAAAGAACUUUGAAAAGAGAGUUAAACAGUACGUGAAAUUGUCAAAAGGGAAGCGUUUGACACCAGUGUUGUUUUUCUGAAAAUCAAUUAAAGAACUGUUUAUGCUAAGCUGUUUAGACUUUAUCAGCUAUCUGUUUAGUUUUGAGCUUUUCUUUAAUGCACUUUUCAGUUAACAAGUCAACAUCAAUUUCUUUUGCUAUAAAAAAGCUUGAGGAAGGUGGCUUGAGAUUCGUCUUAAGUGUUUAUAGCCUCUUGCCUAUGCAGUCGGAGAGAUUGAGGUCUGCAGCGUAGAUCCUUCGGGGCUAAAUGCAUUUGAGCUAAGUUAUAGCAUUUUAUGGACAACUUGUUGACUAUGAUUUGUCUUGUAGCUUACUCGCUUAUGUUAUUUUACCUACGCUUAGGAUGUUGACUGAUAUGUAGUCGUA
rnacentral:rRNA from 1 species